rnacentral:rRNA from 1 species
AUUGAACGCUGGCGGCAUGCUUUACACAUGCAAGUCGAACGGCAGCGCGGGCUUCGGCCUGGCGGCGAGUGGCGAACGGGUGAGUAAUGCAUUGGAACGUGCCCAGUAGUGGGGGAUAGCCCGGCGAAAGCCGGAUUAAUACCGCAUACGACCUGAGGGUGAAAGCGGGGGACCGAAAGGCCUCGCGCUAUUGGAGCGGCCGAUGUCGGAUUAGCUAGUUGGUGGGGUAAAGGCUUACCAAGGCGACGAUCCGUAGCUGGUCUGAGAGGACGACCAGCCACACUGGGACUGAGACACGGCCCAGACUCCUACGGGAGGCAGCAGUGGGGAAUUUUGGACAAUGGGGGCAACCCUGAUCCGGCCAUGCCGCGUGCGGGAAGAAGGCCUUCGGGUUGUAAACCGCUUUUGUUCGGGAAGAAAUCCUCUGGGCUAAUACCCCGGGGGGAUGACGGUACCGGAAGAAUAAGCACCGGCUAACUACGUG